AACGAACGCUGGCGGCAUGCCUAACACAUGCAAGUCGAACGAGACCUUCGGGACUUGUGGCCCCCGGGUGCGUCACGCGUGGGAACCUGCCCUUAUGUUUGGAAUAACUCCCCGACAGGGGUGCUAAUACCGGAUCAUGUCUUCGAACCAAAGAUUUAUCGCCUUUGAAUGGUCGCGCGUUGGAUUAGCUAGUUGUUAGGGUAAAAGAUUACUACGGCGACGAUCAGUAGAUUGUCUGAGAGGCUGAUCAGCCACACCGCGAGUGGGAACCGGCCGGGACUCCUACGGGAGGCAGCAGUGGGGAAUAGUGGACAACGGGCGAAAGCCUGAACCAGCUAUGCCGGGAGAGUGAUGAAGGCCUUAGGGUUGUAAUGCUCUUGUACCCGGGAUGAUAAUGACAGUACCGAGAGAAUAAGCCCCGGCUAACUCCGUG
rnacentral:rRNA from 1 species